GGUGUCCCGCAUUGCAAGCAGAUUCAGUGGGGUCUGACUUAUGCUAAAUCUGCUCUCAAGAGAAGCACUAACAACUUGUAUUUUCCCACCGUUACCUGAAAGAUAUACCAAUUAUUGUUUUGUUUCUCUCAGGCGUUCUCUUACUGUGGCUCUGAGAGGUUUAUCCAUAGUGGGGGGAAAAUACAAAGAUUUAAUAGCCCUGAGCCUUAGUUUUUACAUCUGUAAAAUGGGGCUUCCAUACCAGCAAGGGAAGAGUUGCUGCUGCUGCUGCUGCUAACUCGCUUCAGUCGUAUCCGACUCUGUGCGACCCCAGAGACGGCAGCCCACCAGGCCCCGCCUUCCCUGGGAUUCUCCAGGCAAGAACACUGGAGUGGGUUGCCAUUUCCUCCUCCAAUACAUGAAAGUGAAAAGUGAAAGUGAAGUCGCUCAGUCGUGUCCAACUUUUAGCGAUUCCAUGGACUGCAGCCCACCAGGCUCCUCCGUUCAUGGGAUUUUCCAGGCAAGAGUACUGGAGUGGGGGAAGAGUAGGGAAGGAGAAAUGCAGUGGUCGAGGCAGACCCUGAGCUGGCCUUACCUUGGGUGUUUACCAGAAGAACUUCAGCUUUGGUCUCCUGUGGUCACUCCUGCAUCCCCAGGGCCAGGAAACAAGCCUGAUACACAGCAGGGGAUACCGAUUCGAUUGCUGGUCCCGGAAGAUCCCACCUGCCUAGGGGCACCGAAGCCUGAGCACCACAACUACUGAAACCAGCGCCACCUAGAGU
ensembl:lncRNA